AUUGAACGCUGGCGGCAGGCCUAACACAUGCAAGUCGAACGGCAGCACGGGUACUUGCACCUGGUGGCGAGUGGCGAACGGGGGAGUAAGACAUAGGAACAUGUCCUUUCUUGUGGGAGAGGCCUGAGAAAGCCGGAUUAAUACCGCAUACGCACUACAUAUGCAAGCGAGAGACCGUCAUGCCUCGCGCUAGAGCGAUUGCCGAUGGCGGAGUAGGUAGUUGGAGGAGUAAAGGCACACCAAGACGACGAUCAGGACCUGGUCUGAGAAGACGACCAGCCACACUGGAACUUAAACACGGCGCAGACUCCUACAGGAGGCACCAGGGGGGAAUAUUGGACAACGGCGUCAAGCCUGAUCCAGCCAUACCGCGUGUGUAAAGCAGUCCUUCGAGUUUUAAAGCCCGUUUGUGGGGAAAGAAAAGCAGCAGCUUAAUACCCCGCUGGUCUGACGGUACCCAAAGAAUAAGCCCCGGCUAGCUUCGUU
rnacentral:rRNA from 1 species